rnacentral:rRNA from 1 species
AGGGGAGGCAGCAGUAGGGAAUAUUAGUCAAUGGAUGCAAGUUUGAACCAGCCAUGCCGCGUGCAGGAAGAAGGCCUUCUGGCUUGUAAACUGCUUUUGCCGGGGGAUAAAAAUUCCAUGCGUGGAGCAUUGAAGGUACCCGGUGAAUAAGCCACGGCUAACUACGUGCCAGCAGCCGCGGUAAUAUGUAGGUGGCAAGCGUUGUCCGGAUUUAUUGGGUUUAAAGGGUGCGUAGGCGGCCUAUUAAGUCAGUUCUGAAAUAUCCCGGCUUAACCGGGAGGGUGGGAUUGAUACUGAUGGGCUUGAGUGGAAUCGACGUAGGCGGAAUUGACGGUGUAGCGGUGAAAUGCUUAGAUAUCGUCAAGAACACCGAUAGUGUAGGCAGCUUACUAGACUUCAACUGACGCUGAGGCACGAAAGUGUGGGGAUCAAACAGGAUUAGAUACCCUGGUCGUCCACCCUGUAAACGUUAAUUACUCGCUGUGUGCGAUAUACAGUACGCGGUUUAGCGAAAUCGAUAAGUAAUCCACCUGGAGA